rnacentral:rRNA from 1 species
AAAUUGAAGAGUUUGAUCAUGGCUCAGAUUGAACGCUGGCGGCAGGCCUAACACAUGCAAGUCGAGCGGAAACGAGUUAUCUGAACCUUCGGGGAACGAUAACGGCGUCGAGCGGCGGACGGGUGAGUAAUACCUAGGAAAUUGCCCUGAUGUGGGGGAUAACCAUUGGAAACGAUGGCUAAUACCGCAUGAUGCCUACGGGCCAAAGAGGGGGACCUUCGGGCCUCUCGCGUCAGGAUAUGCCUAGGUGGGAUUAGCUAGUUGGUGAGGUAAGGGCUCACCAAGGCGACGAUCCCUAGCUGGUCUGAGAGGAUGAUCAGCCACACUGGAACUGAGACACGGUCCAGACUCCUACGGGAGGCAGCAGUGGGGAAUAUUGCACAAUGGGCGCAAGCCUGAUGCAGCCAUGCCGCGUGUGUGAAGAAGGCCUUCGGGUUGUAAAGCACUUUCAGUCGUGAGGAAGGUAGUGUAGUUAAUAGCUGCAUUAUUUGACGUUAGCGACAGAAGAAGCACCGGCUAACUCCGUGCCAGCAGC